rnacentral:snRNA from 1 species
UUGCUUCUGCAGCGUAUAUACUAGAACUGUAGCAGCACAGAGAAGAUUGGCACCCUUUGAACAAGGAUGCCCAUGCAGGCUGCAGGCUUGUGGAGUGCUCCUUAGUAUU